rnacentral:rRNA from 1 species
AACGAACGCUGGCGGCAGGCCUAAUACAUGCAAGUCGAACGGAUGUAGCAAUACAUUAGUGGCGCACGGGUGCCUAACGCGUGGGAACAUACCCUUGAGUAAGGAAUAAUGUCUGGAAACGGACACUAAUUCCUUAUAAUGACUUCGGUCCAAAGAUUUAUCGCUCAAGGAUUGGCCCGCGUCUGAUUAGCUAGUUGGUGAGGUAACGGCUCACCAAGGCGACGAUCAGUAGCUGGUCUGAGAGGAUGAUCAGCCACACUGGGACUGAGACACGGCCCAGACUCCUACGGGAGGCAGCAGUAAGGAAUAUUGGACAAUGGAGGAAACUCUGAUCCAGCCCUGCCGCGUGAGUGAAGAAGGCCUUAGGGUUGUAAAGCUCUUUCAAUGGUGAAGAUAAUGACGGUAGCCAUAGAAGAAGCCCCGGCUAAAUUCGUGCCAGCCGCCGCGGUAA